UACGUAGGAGGCAAGCGUUGUCCGGAAUCAUUGGGCGUAAAGAGCGCGUAGGCGGUCCGGUAAGUCCGCUCUGAAAGUCCGGGGCUCAACCCCGGGAGGCGGGCGGAUACUGUCGGGCUAGAGUCCGGAAGAGGCGAGUGGAAUUCCUGGUGUAGCGGUGAAAUGCGCAGAUAUCAGGAGGAACACCAAUGGCGAAGGCAGCUCGCUGGGACGGUACUGACGCUGAGGCGCGAAAGCGUGGGGAGCAAACAGG
rnacentral:rRNA from 1 species